rnacentral:tRNA from 1 species
GCCCCGGUGGCGCAAUCGGUUAGCGCGCCGUACUUAUAAGCAGAUAUGGCGAGUUAUGCGGAGGUUGUGAGUUCGAUCCUCACCCGGGGCA